rnacentral:rRNA from 1 species
AUUGAACGCUGGCGGCAGGCCUAACACAUGCAAGUCGAGCGGAUGAAGGGAGCUUGCUCCCGGAUUCAGCGGCGGACGGGUGAGUAAUGCCUAGGAAUCUGCCUGGUAGUGGGGGAUAACGUCCGGAAACGGGCGCUAAUACCGCAUACGUCCUGAGGGAGAAAGUGGGGGAUCUUCGGACCUCACGCUAUCAGAUGAGCCUAGGUCGGAUUAGCUAGUUGGUGGGGUAAAGGCCUACCAAGGCGACGAUCCGUAACUGGUCUGAGAGGAUGAUCAGUCACACUGGAACUGAGACACGGUCCAGACUCCUACGGGAGGCAGCAGUGGGGAAUAUUGGACAAUGGGCGAAAGCCUGAUCCAGCCAUGCCGCGUGUGUGAAGAAGGUCUUCGGAUUGUAAAGCACUUUAAGUUGGGAGGAAGGGCAGUAAGUUAAUACCUUGCUGUUUUGACGUUACCAACAGAAUAAGCACCGGCUAGCUUCGUG